rnacentral:rRNA from 1 species
UACGUAGGGUGCAAGCGUUAAUCGGAAUUACUGGGCGUAAAGCGUGCGCAGGCGGUUCUAUAAGACAGAUGUGAAAUCCCCGGGCUCAACCUGGGAACUGCAUUUGUGACUGUAGAGCUGGAGUACGGUAGAGGGGGAUGGAAUUCCGGGUGUAGUGGUGAAAUGCGUAGAUAUUGGGAGGAACACCAGUGGCGAAGGCGGCUCACUGGACCGGAACUGACGCUGAGACGCGAAAGCGUGGGGAGCGAACAGG